rfam:Pyronema omphalodes CBS 100304, CBS100304, WGS project CATG01000000 data, contig: Pcon_v1_contig921
GGCCCUGUGGCCUAAUGGUAAGGCGUUGGUUUUCGGUUAUCAAAACCACCAAAGAUUGUGCGUUCGAGUCGCAUCGGGGUCG